ACUUGAGGAUUCGUACGUGAACGAGAUCUAUAGCGUAUAUUUUCCCCGCGAAUUUCCCUUGAUGGCGCGAUGAUCGAUCCCAACAACGCCCAGGUUUACGUUUUCGAGAUCAGUGUAACAGAUGUAAAAAUGGACGUUGCACGUCCAUCUAAUAUAUUCCAGAGUUAUUGACACUUGAACAAAAGAUGAGCCCGAGUUGCACAUUACGAGUGAAAAUGUCGAAUUAAUUCACAAAAUCUGUAAGGGUGGAGUGUCUACCCUCUCGAAAAACAGUCUACUUUGGAAGCAGCCGGCGCAAUGCUCCACUGCUUUAGGUUUCGACCGGCACUCUGCGGUGCUGCCGCAGGGUGGACGAGACCCGAAAUUGUUACAAGUUCCUUAGAUAAAGAGCCACGUGCAGUGCAGGACUUUCGAGAGUCAAUUUCAUUUCUAACAGGACCAGAGUCAAACUUUAGCCGUAACUGUACUUCGCAGCAACUAAAAAGGCAACGGAUUACUAAUUCGAUUUGAAAGUAUGAUACAACAUAAUAUUCAUGUAUAAAAUUUUACUAAUAACAUAAAAAUGUAUUAAAAGCAUACGUGUGCCAGAUAUAAUAACCCGUAGAAUGUUUCUCACGAAUAAGUCGGAAAGGAUGAUCAAAUAGACCAAGCAAAUAAUUGAGAAUGACUCACAAUCACAUACAUUAUAUUUCCGGCACAUCUACGAACGUAGUUUAUCGUACUUUGUUUUAUUAUAAAUAACUCGCGCUGAUAGCGAUAAAUCUUAUCUAGAUAAAAGCUGAAAUAUUAUUUUAUAAAUUAUGUUCUACGUGAUUCAUAUUCAAUGUGAAUUCGACUAUCAUAUAUUGUGAAUCAUCACAGGUUUGCGAGAAUAUUAUGUGACAAUCAAUGUAAGAAUAAAUGAUAAAAUAUUAA